ensembl:lncRNA
GUUUUCAGGUAAGUUACUGGGCAUUUUGUGGUAUUUUACUGUGAAAAAUACAGCAAAGGUUAACAGUGUGUAUCUGAAUUAGUUAAAUCUAAGAAGGUAGAGCCAAAGAGAACAAACCCUUAAAAAGCAUUUCUUCUUAUGUGUAGGACAAACUUGCAUGGGGACUCAGAGGUAGGAGGCACCAAGUCAAAAAGACUUUCAGAGAGUCCUACAGUUUACUGGAUGAAUAUAUAUUCACUAAUAUAUAAAACUAAACUUCUUCUCUUGCUCUCGGCGAAGGCGGUCGCACUUUUUUUCCUCCUCCUCUCCUCUCCCUUAGCUUCCCUGCUUAGCCUCUUGUGUCCUUGUCUAGUCUCGUGUUUUUUUGUAUUACUUUUCCCUGGAACACUCUCUCACAGUCUGUUCUCUAAAACCUAAAAGAGGAAUUAUGGAUUUGAUCAACUGGUCUCUGAAUGCAAUUGACACCCCUUUCUCAACGAGAAGUCUGGGCUCGGGUGAGCCUGACUGCUGAAGAUAUCUACCUUUUCGGAACCAUGAUAACAGGGUUCUUGCUGAUCGGAGCUGGCUUGGCCCUGGCUUAUCGAAGAAUUAAGGAAGCGGAACCGGCUGUUCAAACCCCCACAAGGCUGCCCGCUGGGAUUGAAACGAUGGGACGAGGCGUGAGUUUCUCAAAAUGGGCUCAUUGAGUGCAGCACGGAUAAGAUCUUGGAGAACCGCACGGCUGCCGUGAAUACUCAGAACAAGACCUCUGAGUGCAAACUGGAUUACAUCUGGAGGGGCUCGCUCGGAAUAACACCUCUGAGCGCAAAUUGGAUUACAUCUUGGAGAAGCUCACUGCGGUCGUGAGUUCUCAGAAUCGGCUCUUUGAGCACAAGAAUGACAACAUCACGGAGCGUAAGUUUGAUAACAUCAUGGAGAAGCUCGCGGCUCCCCAACGGGAGAUUGAGAGACCAGUGUCGGACUGUUAGAACAGCUUUGAAAUUCAUAUGAGCUGUUCGCACUAAAGUAAAAACCACCAUCACUUCAUGCGGAGACCCCUUCGGCGCCAGCUGCGGUCUCAAGGCUGGAGCUGAACAAAACACCCUGAUAACGACUGUGUUGAGACUGUUCUUCCCAUUCUAUGCAAAGCCACCUGGGUUGGCUGGAAGACUGUUUACUUAGCCUGGCAGGGCGAAGGACACUGUCUCAGCUGAACUCUGGACACACACACACACACACACACACACACACACACACACACACACAUGCACACAGACAUAUAUACACAUGCAGAUGUACACUCAUCCCCCCUCCCCCCUCCAAACGCCUUCGACGCUUAUUCCCUUCCAAUGCUGACGGUGGAUCAUGGAGACCAGCGCAUAGGCUGCAGGCCCGGAUGUACUGUCUACAUUGGCUGUCUCUCACCCUUUACCCAUCCCUGUUGCUUGUCAUGUGUUUCUUUGGUGUAUUAAGAGUUUUUUUCAUGUGCUAUGUGCAGAGGUGUUUUUUUUUCUGUUCUCAAACUGAUCUCCCUGUUGGAGCUCAGUCUGGGGGAAGUUAUUUUUUUCUCCUUAUCUUUCCUCAUGUUGUGCUUUUCCAUGUUAUACCCCUCUGACCUGUCUUCCCCAUGUGAUGUUUGUGUAAUGUGUGUAUGGUCGGAAGGGUAAGACGGCGCUGGCAGGCUGGCAGCCUUAACCCAAUUUCCCUCGGGAUGAAUAAAGUAUGAUCAAUCAAUCAAUCAAUCAAUCAUAAAAGUUCCAGUACAUUUUUCAUUUGAAUGGUUCUAUCUUGUCACCCAAAGGCCAAAUUUUUAAUGCAUUAUCCAUUUUCCUUAUAAAUUGAAUUGUAGUUCUGCAAAUAUUUACUUAUUUUACAUUUAACUGUGUAAAACGAGCACCUUUUCAGAAAUGCUGAGAUGAUGGAGGGACAUGCUGGAGGAUAUACAUCUAUCUCUCUUGCUCUUUCACAUUUUUGCAAAAUGGGUGUGAACCCAUUGAUGUCAACUAUGCAACAAUUAGUUUUUCUGUGCCUUAUGGUGUAAUUAGCCAGUACAGCAAUAUUUUACAAUACACACCAGUACUGUAUUAUGCAUAUGCUGUAUAUGGUGCCGUAGGCGGUACUGCAAAUGGACAUUUGUUCCAUAACUACUUGUUCUCUGUGGUAAUUCUCCACAGCCACAGGAUGAGGUCCUUUGGGCAUUUGGCCAGGAUGUCUCCAGGGCAGCACCUAGGUGAUGCAUUUUGGACGUGCCCCACAGUAAGGAGGCCCCACAAGAGACCCAUAUGUCAAUAUACAUGUCUGCUGCCUAUAAAAACAUGUAUCAGGUGAUGUCAUCCUGACUACAACCUGUUAUUCACAUACUGCACCUCCAUAAAGAAUAUAUUUGUACUAUAGAAAAUAAAAGCUAGAAAACAAAUUAUUAGUAAUCAUUAAUUACAGGUCAUCUAUUUCUUAACACCCUUUCAUGACAGAUGAGUGUUUCCUUUUUUUAUUGUCACUGAUGCUUCUGGUGAGAAUAUCUCAUAAACAACACGGGGCAGGUUCACUAUAACCAAAACCCCAGACUCACAGUAAACAUCAUGCCACUGUUGUAAGAUACAGCAUCCACAGCAGUGUAAAGUUAAGGAAAGUUUCUUCAUAUUUCAGAGGUCGCUCAGCAGAGAAUGAUUUAAAAGUGUAUGCAUGAUGUGGACUGUUAAAAUUGAUGACAAUUAGCACACCAAAAUAUAAUCAAUGCUAUUUUUUUUUUUAUAAAGAAGGAAAACACAUUUUCCUUUUUCAUUUAAAUAUAAAUUUUUAGAUUAAUUAAAAUUAAAGCCCAAUGCAAUGCCAGCUUCUAGCUUUGCUUAACGGUGUGUAGAACAAACCUGAUGACAUGAACUCCCAGAAAACUUAAACAUCAGCCAAACACAUCCAAGCAUUGAGGGGUGUGAGCAAAACAAACAAAACAAAGCUGACUGAUCCCAAAAACAGUUGGUUAUUGCAAUAAACCCAAGAGUUAUUUCUCAGAAUGUUUUACUAUGUUAUUGGUUUAUUCUGAGCAACAUGAAGGUUAACAGAGCGAGAAUUUUUUUCCUGAAGCAAAGUGAUCAUUACAGUCUCAAUUGUUUGAGUUUGUACGGAGAUUUCUCCACAACAUGUGCUGUCCACAAUUAUUGACAGUCGGAUAUAAUAAGUUGCUUUAUUUGGAAAUGUGCAGGGCUCGUCUCUGUCAUCGUUUGACAGAACUGCACCAUCAAGAUGUGGCAAUUCCCAAAUUGGCCAGCAGGUGUCACUGUGGAGAUGGGUUUCAGAUUGUUUCGAAGCCUCGACACUAUUGCGGCACAAAUGGUUUCAAUUUUUCAGUGUUUUACGAAGGCUCGGUUGGCCCAUCACUAUUUAUAAGGUUUUUGGAAAGGAAAGGCAAUGAAUACAGAGUGCCAAUCACACAUGAACAGGAACAGAAUCUCCUCCACUGUCUCACACACAGAAACGCCAGGCUUCAAGGCAACAACAGAAACCAGACUUACUGAUCAGAGAUGGUCUUUCUGGUUUUGAAGUGGGCCGCAGCACUCUUGUCUUUGGGAAUGGCUGCACUACAAUGACUUUACACUCAGCAGCCGUUUGGAGGAACAUGUUAGAGCCGUUUAGUCCUGUACUCCUCCUGCACAUGUGCUGAAGUUAUCAUAAUAACGUGCAUGCGUACGAGAAGGUUUUAGUUCAGUUUUGUUGGCAUAAUCAGAGAAUGAUAGGUAUGCACCACUGACUCAUGUGAUGAGUAAAACACCUGCAUGGUAUGCACCUUACCGAUUGUUUCUAUCAUGGAGACUUCAGUCUUUGCUUUCAGUUUAGGUUAGGUUUUCUUUCUAAUUCUAUUUAGAAAUCUUAUGUUUUCAAGAUUGUCCUAAUUUGUGCCUCUGCCUCUGUACUGUUCCUCAUUUCUGUUUUACUUCUAGUUGAUUGUGGUUAGAUUUUAUUGUCAUUGCAGAGUUUAUUAUUGGGCAUUCCUGCUUGGGUUCAUUGUGACUCUUUAGUCAUUUCUGUUUACUUCUUGUUAUUUUAUAAUCCAGAUAAUGUUAGUGUUAAGAGUUAUUUAAAGGUAUAUCCUUGUCUUUUUAUGUAUUUAAGACCAGCCUCCUCUAGUGUUUCCUCGUAUGCCAUUGUCAUAUCUAUUUAGUGGUUUGUUUACUUUCUGUUUUAUCUGAAAGUCCCUUGUGUGUGCUUACAUAGUCCUGCCCUGCCUGUCAGUCAUUGUUUCAGUAUCUGUUUGUGUGCUCUUGUGUUCUCCUCGUGAUCCUUUUUGGAAGUUUUCUUAUUUUUUAUUCUCAUUUCUACUAUUCGCUGCCCGGUGUUGUCGAUUACUCCUCGACCUUAAUAAAAGGAGAUAUCAAUUCUUCUAGUUGCACUUACAGCCCCGAUGGGAAAGAGGGAGCGUGAAGACACCCAGAUGUCCAAGAAGAUGCCAACUUCCCCAUUUGACUACAGUAGUUCAGAUGAUGCUUCCAAUCAGGUUCCAUCAAAUAGCCAGGACUAUUUCAGCAACAGACCUUCAGAGACAACAAGUAACCCUUACAGGCUGUACCCCAACAGACCUCAACAGACAACAAGUAACCCUGACAGGCUGUACCCCAACAGACCUCAACAGACAACAAGUAACCCUUACAGGCUGUACCCCAACAGACCUCAACAGACAACAAGUAACCCUUACAGGCUGUACCCCAACAGACCUCAACAGACAACAAGUAACCCUGACAGGCUGUAUCCCAACAGACCUCCACAGACAACAAGUAACGAGUACAGCCAGUUCAACAAUCAGCAGGUCCAGAGCAGCAGUGCCUCCACAGAUGAUCCGAAUCAUGUCCGGCUCAUAAACCACCUUCAGUUCAACAGCAGACCCCAACAAACAACAAGUAAUGAUUACAGACAGUAUCACACAGUCCACACAGACUUGGCCGCCUCCACAGACCUAGUGCGCAAUCUCCAACUGUCCAGAAUGUGUGGCUGUGUGGCUUGCCACAUCUUCUACUGUAACACUGUAGUGAGGCACAAUGCUCUUAGAGGCCGGGAAGGCGGUGUCAUAACAUUAGAGAUGGGCAUACAGAAUAGAGGCAAUAGGCGGAACAAUGGCUUUAGAUACUUCAUCAGCAGAAGUGUUAUUCAUUAUCUAAUGGUGAUCCAUAUAAUUAUUUUUAAUAUUCUGCUUUUAGUAAUGUCACUCUUGUUUCAUGGCAGGAUAUAAAUUACUCUCUGAACAAACUGCCACCAGCAUUAGAUAAAAAUGUGGAAAAUUUUUUGAUUUCCUGGAGAUGCCAGUUAACUUUUUAAAAACAAAUGCAGUGGAACAAAUAACUCUAAUAGGGACUAAUUGAGAAAACUGGUGACAUCUGGCAAGGUGUAAAAAUCCUGGAGGAGCAUACUGUUCAGAUGUCCACUGUGGCAGGUAGCUCAGUACGGGCAGGUGGAGGUGUGCUGCUGGUGGUCCUGUGGUCUGACUAUGGCUACAGCAUGCAGUCAACAAGGUUGUGACCACUGGAGCAAAGAUUUGAGUGAAUUUAAUAUAAUGAACUUCUUCAUUUUACUUGGGAUAUUUACUUAUGUGCAACUUUGUUUUGCCAUAUUCUGUUUUCUUGAACUGGUCAUUUGAAAGAUUUCCCAUUUAAAGCAAAUCUGCACUGGCUGUUUCUUUAAUAUAUACUCAGUGGGUUAAUGCAGACUUUUUCCUGCUCCUGUGUCUUAAUGAACAACAAACUGGCACUUUCUGUAAUCACUCUGUGCAAGUCUUACCUUAAACUCCACCAGGGGGCAGCAUUUCACCAGUGCUAAAUAUUUUUUCUUAACCUUUGAGUUUUAUUUUCAGCCCUACUUCCAUGUCCUAGAAAGGCUUCAGCUUUUGACCGUAAUUAAGAAGGUGCUCCUAAUGACAGGUCUGGUUGACUCACUGCACCAUCUUGUGGCACAAAUUGGUUAAUACAUGAAAGCGGAGCACAGGUACACCGAUAUUUUGGGCAUAAAGUUCUGGCCGUUCUUAAGAGCUUCAGUUCAUUUUGGAAGUAAUUUACAAAACCUUUAAGUGAAAAAAGAAAAGCACAAGCACACAGCUGCACUAUUGUGUGUUACCAACUAGUUUAAACGGUUUUAAAACAUGUAAAUGCUAAUGGGCUUUAAACAUGUUCACACUGAGAGUUAAUAACAGUCCACCACUGCAUGCAUCUAUGGCAUUUCUAAACAAACCCAAGUUUAAUGUCUGUCUCUGUGUCUACACACACACACACACACACACACACACACACACACACACACACACACACACAACUGUGUAUUUAUGUUGUGGUAUUGAGUAACAGGGCAAGAGGCGGAUGUGAUCCACCUGCAGCUGCUGUGCACAGCGAGCGGUUUGGAGAUUCAGGUCAGACUUGCGUUUUACACCUUCCUGCGAUCUGUGAGCUCUGACACGCUGAGAGCAGCUCGGCACACAUACAUUCAGUCUGUUUUCUCAUUUAUUUUGCAUGAGGCUGGCCAGACAGAGUCAUUCAGUGAGGAACUCCUGUUAUGCUACAGGAAGAAGCUGUUUGAUUUCUAACCACCUUUCCUCUGUCUCUGGCUGAAUAUUACUGAGAUGUCUGCUUGUGUCGGUGAUGACUGAUGGAUAAGUGUUGGCUUUACAGCGAGAUUUUAAUUGCGACUCUUCUGUGUAACUCAGAAUAGGAUUAAUCAUCUUAUUGCCUCAAAAUCUCUUUAUUUUUUAUACUUAUUUAUAUUCUGUAUGAUUGUUUUUGCUUCUCUGUUAAAGCACUGGAUAAACUCUGUUUUUCUUUUUUAAAAAGGUGGCACUAUAGAAAUAAAGUUUUUAUUAAUGAGACAGCAUUGAAAUGUCAGAUAAAAAAAUAGAAAUAGAGUUAUAUGUUUCACAUGGCAACAGUGAGAGAAUAAUAAAGUGCACAUUAUUUUCAUACUAGGUCAGUUUUCAGCCUGAAAUGAGGAAAAUACAUGAAACCUGACUGAGGCUUUAACACUGCAGGUAAACCAGUGGUUGGAGAGAGGUGGAAAACUGGAAGAAUCUGGAACUGGUUCUACAAAUAUUCACACAAAAGAUCAAACUCUGUAGUAGAGUUUUGCACUUGGGGAUUUCCUUGUUCGGCCAAGAAGAAGACUGCCAUGUUUGUGGUCUGCAACGGGAUUACAUUCAAGACAUCACUCAUGAUUUUGUCUACUCUUUUUGGACAUGAAUGGACCUCCCUUACUAAAUGCACAUGAUGCACUUUGAGUAAUAUGAUAUAGGUGCUUCUCUGUGUUAUUUAUCUAUGACCUGAGUAAUGCAGUAAUAUUCCCUGAUCAGUUUAAAGUACAAUAAAAUGGUCUCACGUUUAAGCUCUCUGUUUGAUUUGGUUUUACUUUGCACAUGAUACAAAUCACACAGAAAGUAAGUGAACACAAAACAAACGUGUGCCGAAUCAACUAAAUGACACAAUCUGAAAGAAAAAAAAGAUAAAAAACCUAUAAAGCAAAAUUAAACACUGACCAGUUUUAAGGCUUUUUAUUUUCUGUACAUACAACAUUUUACAAAAGCACGAAAUCCAGAUUUUUAAUCACGACUUAAAAACAUAAAGAGGAUAAAAAAUGACAUGCAUCAUCUGUACGUUGCUGUAUUUGACACUCUUCUCCAUGCAGUUAAUUAAAACGUUAAAAUAAAUACACUAUUUUCUAUUUUAUCAGCAUUAACAAAAUGAAUCAAUUAACAGUAAAUUUGCACGAUGGAGUUGAGCAGUCGAUUAAUGUUUGACUUUCUGUCACACUUCAUCGAGGUAAUGGCCAUUGAUUGGUGGAGAAACAUCAGCGCUGCCAUGAAUUAUAAAAACAAUCUAAUACAUAACAGAAGAACAGAACAGGGAUGUAAAAUGCAUAAGAAUUUACUUUUCUCUUUGCUUUUUCUGAGUAAUAAAAAUAUAUCUCUACCAUUUACUGUUUAGGAAGCAUCUAAAUAAGAAGAGAAGCAGUUAUUAAGAUAACAGGAUUUGAUCUUUAUCUAAUGCAGAUCACGUGACUUUUUUAAGACUACAGAGGAAAAUUAAAGAGAAGCGAGUCUAGUAUCGUUUAGUGCUUUUUAAAGCAUGUUUCAGUUUCUUAUGUAAAUAUGUAGUUUCAUUGAUUGAUCACAUCCUGUGUUUAUCA